AGAUGUUAGUGUGCGGGCUCAGUAGUGUGUGAAGCUCUGCCUGACAGGCUAUAAUGUCCUGUCUUCAUGCGUUAAGCCAACAGAAAUGUACGUUAUCGUGUCUGCCUGUUUAAAUACAGGCAGAACAAAUGCUGUAGUUAAAUGGCCAGGCUGAAUGUGUGUUUUAAAGGAAAGUCUGGGGAACACGCCCUUGCUGUCUUGCCUACCUGUAUGAAAGACAACGCUUUCAACUUCAUUUGAAUGCCCUCAAACUGCGGUCACACCAACGCAUAACCCCAGACUGGAGAAGUUAACCGUAUUUGUUAAUUAUUCGCUAUAGUUUCGAGUUGGUAACAGUGUCGGUUUGGUCAAAUGUAGGUUUUCACAGCGCCCUUUUUAACUAGACACUCACAGUGCCAGUCGAGAGACACAGUAAAAAGUCAAGUAUGUUUCAUACGGUUGACUUGAUCCGCAUUACCCCGGCUGGUGCACCGCAGCUCAGCUGUAAACUGUAACCUGCGGCGGCAGAGUUGACGCGGACGGAUACAUUGUAGUACCCCCAGCCUCUGAAAAGAACCAGGAAGCCAAAAACACAUGGAACACCCGUCUGAAACCACCUCGAUGAGCUUUGGCUUUUUCAAGUAGUCGUACAAAUAGGCUGCCGAGGUGUGAGAGAGCGGGGGGGGGGGGCUUUCGAGGCCACGGUGAAACCAGGGAGUUUCCUGCGUCCUAUGUCCGCCAGCCUGCUGGGUCACAGGUAGGGGCUGGGCCGGUAAACCUGCUCUGGAGCCCCACCAGACAGAUAAGUGAUAAAGUGUUGAUGUUUCCUCACCGGGCACCCCCAGGGUCGCUUUCAAGCCUGACUGCCGACAGCUCACCACCUCUGUCAGCCUCUUGAGUGAGCCAGUUGAUCGCCUCUAGCUCAACAAGCGUCUGCCAGCGGUCCAGCCGAGCAGCCUCCGUGUUGCCCCCACCCGAGGCCCAGCUGCCUGGGCAGGACUGCAUCACCAUGGACACAGAGUCCACUUACUCGGGGUAUUCCUACUACUCCGGACGCUCCCGGGGUUCCCACAGGCACGGGGAGCGAAGCCGCGACCGCCACAAGUCCCGAAGUAAAGACAGCCGCUCAGAAAAAUCUGUAACAAUUAACACGCCACCUGCAGAGCCCCUGCUGGGUGACUCAGGUGUUCGGGGUGAGCAGAUCCAGGAUGACAACUGGGGCGAGACCACCACAGCCGUCACAGGCACAUCAGAGCACAGCCUCUCUCAAGAGGACAUUGUUCGCAUCACCAAGGACCUGGAGGACAGUGUUGGGCUUGACUGCCGCCGUUACUUCACCCUGACCCUGGCCGUGAUCCUGGGCCUGCUGGUGUUUUUGACGCCGCUAGCCUUUCUGGUGCUCCCUCACCUCCUCUGGCCGGAAAAACUGCAGAGCUGCGGCACGGCCUGCGAAGGCCUCUUCAUCUCUGUGGCCUUCAAGCUGCUCAUACUGCUGCUGGCUGUCUGGGCGCUUUUCUUUAGGCCGCCACGGGCCGGACUCCCACGGGUGUUUGUAUUCCGGGCACUUCUCGCUGUGCUGGUGCUGCUCUUUGUGGUCUCCUAUUGGCUGUUCUACGGAGUCAGAAUACUUGAUUCACAGGAUGAGAAUUACCAGGGCAUCGUGCAGUACGCCGUGUCCCUGGUGGAUGCUUUGCUCUUCAUCCACUACCUGGCCAUUGUCCUGCUGGAGCUCCGGCAGCUCCAGCCAUGCUUCUCUGUGUGCGUCACGCGCUCCACGGAUGGCGAGAUGAGGCACUACAACCUGGGACAGCUCAGCAUUCAGCGGGCAGCUCUGGCCAUCUUAGAGCACUACUACUGUGACUUCCCUGUCCAUAACCCAGCGUUGCUUUCAGCCUCCAAGUCCCGUGCAGCCAAGCACCUGGCCGGUCUCAAGGUCUACAACGUGGAUGGUGAGUUCCCAGCAGCCCCUGCUGAGGGUCCGGGGAACAAUGCUGCAGCAGGACUGGCCCACUCCCAGUCCAGAGCCAUGAUCGCAGCAGCUGCCCGCCGCAGAGACACCAGCCACAACGAGCUGUACUAUGAGGAGGCUGAGCACGAGAGGCGUGUCCGCAAGCGCAGAGCACGACUGGUGGUGGCAGUGGAGGAGGCGUUCACACAUAUCAAGCGCAUGCAGGAGGAGGAACAGAAGAAAGCACCAGGGGAUGUGAUGGACCCACGAGAGGCAGCACAAGCCAUCUUCCCAUCCAUGGCUCGAGCACUGCAGAAGUACCUGAGAACCACCAAACAGCAGCACUGCCACAGCAUGGAGAGCAUCCAGCAGCACCUGGCCUUCUGCAUCACCAACAACAUGACGCCUAAAGCGUUCCUGGAGAGCUACCUGGCCCCGGGUCCCACCCUGCAGUACAGCCGAGACCACUGGCUGUCCCGUCAGUGGACUCUGAUCAGCGAGGCAUCGGUAACCAGCGGCCUUAAAGACGGCACGGUCUUCCUGCUCAAGUGUGUGGACUUCAGCCUCGUCGUGACAUCAAAGAAGAUCCCGUACAUCCAGAUGUCAGAGGAGUAUGUCGACCCCAAGUCACACAAGUUUGUCCUGCGGCUACAGUCUGAAACCUCUGUGUAGGACUUAUUUUUUAAAUUCCUCACCCUGUUUUGUUGCUCUCAAAUGUUUUUACUUUGGGUUUGCAGUUUUUAUUUUUACUUUUUUGGAUUUUUUUUUUGUAUAUUAUAUAUGAAUCUAUACGUUACACACAUGUUUGAAUAUAUUGAUCUUUUUAUGUUUGAUUCGGAUGAAAACAAAAGAAAGAUUUGAGGGUGGAUUACGCUCACGGACACAGUUGAGUGUGGGUGUACGCGUGUGUGUAUGUGUGUGUAUGCAUCUGUGUCAUUUUGUGUCCACACAAUUGCGUGUUCCUUUUUUGUUUGAGAUGCUGUGGCCAAACAAGAUUGGAACAUUUGAAGUUUCUGACAACCACACAGGGACUUAGUUGUCUCGGUCGCUUUUUAUUUCCAAAGGACAGAAAGGCAGACAGAGAAACCACUAAGGACUGCAAUGGUGUGACUUGGAUUUUGAUAUUUGAAGCCCGAUGGCAACACAUGACAAAUAUCCUGCCACCUCCUCUGCGAUUUUUUUUAAGUAUUUGUACACUCUUGUGGACUUCAACAAACUGAGAGGAUUUCUUUGUCUCGAAAACCAAAUUACAUGCAUUUGACAAAAAGGUGAAACUAAACUUCAGUCAUACUUUGCAUUAAAUGCACGUUUAUGUAUGUUUCUAAAUUAAAGGAAUAUGCCUAAAAAGGAUAGAACAUAUGAUCCCAGCCUGCUCAAACAGGAUGUUUGACUGAUUUCCUGAUCGCUUCUUCGGGACAUCUGUAGAGCUCCGGACAAACACUUUUCCUGACAGUUGAGAUGUCAGCAGCCCACCUCAUGUCCAGCUUUUGGAAUGCAGUAGCACCCUUGAGUGCUUACUCUAGUGGCCAAAGUAGGAUGCUUUCAACUGUUUUGGUGUGCGAUUCUUCUCCAGGUGCAAUGGAGCAAAAUCAAAAAUAUUUCCACUCCAGUUGGGAACAACACACACACGCCAUGUUAAACACAGAAUGAACCGGAUUAUAAGAGACGCUCAGAGGUGGAUACAUGCCCGAAAACAUUUGCCCUGCCUCAUCGGUUCAGUAACCAUCUCAGGGCUUUCAUGUCUGCCACAUCUGCCUGACUUGAUGAAAAGGGAAGGCAGCUGGGAGGAGAGGCAAAGCCACAAUGUCAGAAAUAAAAAGCACAUCUGAUUACUUUAAAUUCCCCCUCUGUUGGUGAUACAGCAGAAAAUCUAAAUAUUGUAACUUUUCAUAUUAAAAAUGAGUAUUCAAAUAAGUGAGGCCAACAUGAACAACAAUCAUGUUAGACACACCACACUGUUGCUCUGAGUUUCUCUUUUUAACAAAAAAUGUUUUCUCCAUUUUAAUUUUCAUGUUUCUUUUUUAACAUAUUCCUGAUUGAUGUUAAGCUACCACCAUACAAUACUUCCUCAUGAUUUUCACAUUAAAAGCCUGCCUGUAACGGGAUGGCUGCCAGACUUUAGAGCCAUUUUCACCUUCAGACAACAGUGAGCAGUGUAGAGAAACAGGAAACACGGGCGGAGAGAGGGAGGUUGGGAAUCAAACCAAGAAUGUUUUGAUUAUGUAGUAAAGCACCAUAACUGUUAGGCCACCCAAACACCCCAGACUGCCAGUAAGUGUUGGAUUUAAAUCAUAGUACGUAUUAUCGUAGCUUAACAUCUCUGAGGGAAAAAGGCAAAGCAGAACACCUGACGAGACAGAAUUAGUGCUGUGGACAUAUGGUUCUGUCUAAAACUGAGUCGCGGAACAGCCGCUGUUUGAUAAUUUGCCACAGUUAAGGUAUGAUUUCAUCUGUCAGGGCUUACAGGGUUUCCUUGUAUCAUUAGAAUAUAUAAUAGAUGAUAAUGGGUGUACCGGCAGCAAGAGCUGCAGCAGGGCGGAACCUCCCUCCCAACUGGACCGUCUGGUUUUCCUCUGCUCCCUUGUUUCGCCUCUGUUGUCUGACAAACACGUUCACAGUGAAUCCCUUGAGGUCAGCCACUUCACCAGAAGACUCAAAAGGGAUUUUUCCUAACAUUUCUGUCUUGUAAAGCCACACGGAUACAGUUGAAUUAAGCUAAUGUCGCUGAAAUGACACUUUUAUUUCCUGUCAGUGCUUGCAUUUGACUACUUUAUCUUCUUAUAAGUGAUCUGGUAAAAAAUCACCAGAGCAAUUAAAGAAAAUCCCACUGUGCUCAUGUAUAAUGCACUCAAGAAGAAAAAUACAGUAUGUCACAGUAAUACUGUCUUCUGUGCCUAUGAGCAGCGCUGUCCCCUACUGCCCCCUGGCUGGUGACCCUGAUAUUAACAGUUUGUUUCCGAGGGCAGCAGCAGCUUGUUUUCAUAUAAAUCAUAAAGAUACUGCCCAUUUUAGCAAAAGCAUUUUUUCACUCUCCACUUUGUAACUGUUAAGUCAUCUGGAAAGAACUAAAACAAAUUAUUUUGCUAUUUCCUGUGUAAUGCAGUGAUGGCAAAAACCUUUUUUAAACACCUGCCCACUGGUCGUAUUUUGUACCUACUGACAGAUGAACUUUGUAUGAUCCCAAUGUGACUGUGCCUCCUGUUUUUACACUGUAUCUAUUUAUGUAAACAAGUGCGUGUGUGUGUGUGGGUAAGUAUGUAUGUAUGUAUGUAUGCAUGUAUGUAUGUAUGCCAUUCCAGUUCACAUGACCAGCCUUUUCCCCUCUCCUCUACGUCGCCGCCAUCUGUCUCGCUGUUGCCAGGUCACAGUCAUCUGUCAUGGUUUGGUGUUUGUUGGACAGCUUUAAGAUGAAGAUGUGACAUUGCAAUGCUCCUGAAUGCCUCUCAGUUCUCAGAAGUUUACUCUUUCCGUUAAAAGUGGCUGUGAGUACUUUUAGCUGCCAAGGUUAUUUGCGAGGUAUGUGUGUUCAAAACCCACCCCGUGUUUGAUGGCCACUGUGUCAAUUUAGGCUUUUUUGUAUGAUUUUUAGGCACUGACACCAAAACCUGACAUUAUGAAACCGUAAACAUUAUUGUUUAGAUAGUGAUAUGUUAGGAUAUUUCUGAUAUGUGUUUGAUUUUUAUAAUUUUGAUUUAUUAUGUGCAGUUUAAUGGGUUCAAAACUCAUUAAAAUGAAAGACAUGCCUUAAUUAAUACUA